GGGUCAUUAGCUCAGCUGGUAGAGCAGCGGACUCUUAAUCCGUUGGUCGCGGGUUCGAUCCCCUCAUGACCCACCA
rnacentral:tRNA from 1 species